CAGAUAGGUAGGCAGAGCAAGAUGGAGUUACAGACACAUGUCCUCAUGUCCCUGCUGCUCUGGGUGUCAGGUGCAUGUGCUGAUACCGUGAUGACACAGUCUCCAUCCUCCCUGGCUGUGUCAGCAGGAGAGAAGGUCACCAUCAAUUGCAAGUCUAGUCAGAGUCUUUUAUACAGUGAAGACAAGAAGAACUACUUGUACUGGUACCAGCAGAAACCAGGACAGGCUCCUAAACUACUGAUCUACUAUGCAUCCACUCGGCACACAGGGGUCCCUGAUCGCUUCAUAGGCAGUGGAUCUGAGACAGAUUUCACUCUCACCAUCAGUAGUGUCCAGGCUGAAGAUUUGGCAGAUUAUUACUGUAUGCAAGUUAAUGAGUAUCCUCCCACAGUGCUUCAGCCUCCAACAAAAACUUCUGAGAGUCUCAACAGCUGCCUGUACUGCAUUCUGCCCUGCAGCUGCACACUUCUCCCUUCUGCCUGGGGGAGUGGGCCUGAAAAUCUGAUCAAAAUGUUUUCAGAGCUGAGCAAAAUAUAA